UUGGAGGGCAAGUCUGGUGCCAGCAGCCGCGGUAAUUCCAGCUCCAAUAGCGUAUAUUAAAGUUGUUGCAGUUAAAAAGCUCGUAAUUGAGUUUCGGGAUCAAUAUACCGGUCGUGCCUCAGGUAUGAACUGGUCUUAUUGGUUUCUCCCUUCUGACGAACCAUGAUGUCAUUAAUUUGAUGUCGUGGAGAAUCAGGACUGUUACUUUGAAAAAAUUAGAGUGUUUAAAGCAGGCUUACGCUUGAAUACAUUAGCAUGGAAUAAUGAAAUAGGACGUUCGAUCCUAUUUUGUUGGUUUCUAGGAUCGACGUAAUGAUUAAUAGGGAUAGUUGGGGGCAUUAGUAUUCAAUUGUCAGAGGUGAAAUUCUUGGAUUUAUUGAAGACUAACUACUGCGAAAGCAUUUGCCAAGGAUGUUUUCAUCAAUCAAGAACGAAAGUUAGGGGAUCGAAGACGAUCAGAUACCGUCGUAGUCUUAACCAUAAACUAUGCCGACUAGGGAUCGGAUGAUGUUAAUUUUAUAAUGACUCAUUCGGCGCCUUACGGGAAAC
rnacentral:rRNA from 1 species